rnacentral:rRNA from 1 species
GACGAACGCUGGCGGCGUGCUUAACACAUGCAAGUCGAACGAAGUGGCGAACGGGUGAGUAACGCGUAAUCAACCUGCCCUUCAGCGGGGGACAACAGUUGGAAACGACUGCUAAUACCGCAUACUGAGGGAGGGGAUUGGGUCUGAUUAGCUAGGUGGAGGGGUAACGGCCCACCAAGGCGAUGAUCAGUAGCCGGGCUGAGAGGAUGAACGGCCACAUUGGGACCGGGACACGGCCCAAACUCCUACCGGAGGCAGCAGGGGGGAAACUUCCGCAAUGGACGAAAGGCUGACGGAGCAACGCCGCGUGAGUGAUGACGGCCUUUGGGUUGUAAAGCUCUGUUAAUCGGGACGCGGUACCGGAAUAGAAAGCCACGGCUAACUACGUGCCAGCAGCCGCGGUAAUAC